UACGUAGGGUCCGAGCGUUGUCCAGAAUUAUUGGGCGUAAAGGGCUCGUAGGCGGUCCGUCACGUCGGGAGUGAAAACUCAGGGCUCAACCCUGAGCGUGCUUCCGAUACGGGCGGACUAGAGGUAUGCAGGGGAGAACGGAAUUCCUGGUGUAGCGGUGGAAUGCGCAGAUAUCAGGAGGAACACCGGUGGCGAAGGCGGUUCUCUGGGCAUUACCUGACGCUGAGGAGCGAAAGCAUGGGGAGCGAACAGG
rnacentral:rRNA from 1 species